GACAGAGGGUGCGAACGUUGUUCGGAAUUACUGGGCGUAAAGCGCAUGUAGGCGGCAGCGCAAGUCGGGCGUGAAAUCCCACGGCUCAACCGUGGAAGUGCACUCGAAACUGCGCAGCUAGAGUCCUGGAGAGGAAGGUGGAAUGCUUGGUGUAGAGGUGAAAUUCGUAGAUAUCAAGCGGAACACCGGUGGCGAAGGCGGCCUUACUGGGACAGUGA
rnacentral:rRNA from 1 species